UAUCCACCUUCCUGGGUACUGUUGCCACGGUGAUAGUGACUGUCCAUGUCAUUAUCUAUCCACCAACAGUAAGAGAAACCCUGCAAUCGAGAUUGUUUAACAGAUGGAGUGGUUUCUGUUGGACACUAAGUACUGCUACAAAU